UCACUCAUUUUCUUGUAGAAGAGGCAGUAAAUCAUAUCAUCCAAGGACAAGACUUUGUUCAAAACUUAGACAUGGUGAUCUGAAUGUCACACUUCAAAGUCUACUGCGUCAAUGCUCAGAAAUUCAUAGCACGGUUAGUGACAACAUUGAUGAACUACUUGACGAAGAGGACGAGUUAUGUCCUGUUGAAUGUGUAAGAGAAUUUAAGACUGAUGAGGAAUUCUCCAUAAUAUUGGAAAAGG
rnacentral:misc_RNA from 1 species